rnacentral:tRNA from 1 species
GGGCUGGGGCUCAGUGGCAGAGCGCUUGCCUAGCAUGCGUGAGGCACUGGGUUCGAUCCUCAGCACCACA